AUUAGCGCUGGCAGAGUGCAUAACACAUGCGAGUCGAGCGAGACUAGUAGCAAUAUUAGUCUAGCGGCAGACGAGUGAGUAACACGUAAACAAUCUACCCUUGAAUGGUGGAUAACCAGCCGAAAGGCUGGCUAAUACACCGUACUCUCCCUUGAAGGCAUCUUCGAGGGAGGAGAGAUCCGCAAGGAUCGUUCUUGGAGGAGUUUGCGGCCCAUCAGCUAGUUGGCGGUGUAAUAGACCACCAAGGCUACGACGGGUACCCGGCCUGAAAGGGCGGACGGGCACGAUGGCACUGAGACACGGGCCAUACUCCUACGGGAGGCAGCAGUGGGGAAGUUUGGACAAUGGGCGAAAGCCUGAUCCAGCAACUCUGCGUGAGGGACGAAGGCCUUCGGGUCGUAAACCUCUUCUACAUGGGAAGAAUGGCAGCAAUGCCUCGACGGUACCAUGUGAAUAAGCCACGGCUAACUAUGU
rnacentral:rRNA from 1 species